rfam:Subdoligranulum sp. 4_3_54A2FAA genomic scaffold supercont1.5, whole genome shotgun sequence.
CGCAGAGUAGAAGCCUGCGCGUUGGCCCCCAAAAAGGGCCGCAGUGCCGUUCCGACGGGGAGUUGCGGAACGGACGAAAAGCACCGCUUGCGGUGCAGGCUUCGCAUCCCGCUGCU